rnacentral:sRNA from 1 species
GGCAGGCAGGCAGGCUGGCCCCGGGGACUUCUCUCUGGCCCUGCUCCCUCCGAGCGCUCCGCCGUUGCCCGCCUGGCCCCUACGGAGUCCUUAGCCAGGAUGGAGGCUGUUGUGAACUUGUACCAAGAGAUGAUGAAGCACGCAGUUCCUGAUGUCGGGCUGGCUGAGCACCUAUACCUGGCGCUGUGACCCUGUGGACUAUUCCAACAGCCCUGAGGCACUUAGGAUGGUUCGGGUGGCCUGGCUCUUCCUCUUCUCCAAGUUCAUUGAGCUGAUGGACACAGUGAUCUUUAUUCUCCGAAAGAAAGAUGGGCAGGUGACCUUCCUACAUGUCUUCCAUCACUCUGUGCUUCCCUGGAGCUGGUGGUGGGGGGUAAAGAUUGCCCCGGGAGGAAUGGGCUCUUUCCAUGCCAUGAUAAACUCUUCUGUGCAUGUCAUAAUGUACCUGUACUACGGAUUGUCUGCCUUUGGCCCUGUGGCACAACCCUACCUUUGGUGGAAAAAGCACAUGACAGCCAUUCAGCUGAUCCAGUUUGUCCUGGUCUCACUGCACAUCUCCCAGUACUACUUUAUGUCCACCUGUAACUACCAGUACCCAGUCAUUAUUCACCUCAUCUGGAUGUAUGGCACCAUCUUCUUCGUGCUGUUCUCCAACUUCUGGUAUCACUCUUAUACCAAGGGCAAGCGGCUGCCCCGUGCACUUCAGCAAAAUGGAGCUCCAGGUAUUGCCAAGGUCAAGGCCAACUGAGAAGCAUGGCCCAGAUAGGCGCCCACCUAAGUGCCUCAGGACUGCACCUUGGGCAGCGUCCGUCAGUGCCCUCUCCACC